CAAAGGCUUGGUCCUGACUUUUCUGUCAGCUUUAGCAAUAUUUACACAUGCAAGUAUCCGCACCCCCGCGAGAAUGCCCCACAGUUUCCUCCCUAGGAAACAAGGAGCUGGUAUCAGGCACGCCUUUGCAGCCCACGACACCUUGCUUAGCCGCACCCCCAAGGGAAUUCAGCAGUGAUAAACAUUAAGCCAUAAGUGAAAACUUGACUUAGUUAAAGCUAAGAGAGCCGGUCAAACUCGUGCCAGCCACCGCGGUUAUACGAGAGGCUCAAGUUGACAGCCUUCGGCGUAAAGCGUGGUUAGGGGCUCACAACAACUAAAGCCAAACCCUCUCAUAGCUGUUAUACGCACUCGAGAGCAUGAAGCCCAACAACGAAAGUAGCUUUACUCCCCCUGACCCCACGAAAGCUGUGAAACAAACUGGGAUUAGAUACCCCACUAUGCACAGCCCUAAACUUCGAUAAUAUCUUACAACUAUUAUCCGCCCGGGAACUACGAGCAUUAGCUUAAAACCCAAAGGACUUGGCGGUGCUUUAGAUCCCUCUAGAGGAGCCUGUUCUAGAACCGAUAACCCCCGUUAAACCUCACCUUCUCUUGUUCUCCCCGCCUAUAUACCGCCGUCGUCAGCAUACCCUGUGAAGGAACUAUAGUAAGCAAAAUUGGUAAAGCCCAAAACGCCAGGUCGAGGUGUAGCAUAUGAGAAGGGAAGAAAUGGGCUACAUUUCCUCAUGGAGGAAAUACGAAUUGUGCCAUGCAACAGCACAUGAAGGAGGAUUUAGUAGUAAGCAGGAAGCAGAGUGUCCUGCUGAACCCGGCCCUGAAGCGCGCACACACCGCCCGUCACUCUCCCCAAGCCAACACCCUCAAUUUUAUAAAACCUUAGCCAGGCAAAGGGGAGGCAAGUCGUAACAUGGUAAGUGUACCGGAAGGUGCACUUGGAAAAAU
ensembl:Mt_rRNA